rnacentral:snoRNA from 12 species
AAACCUUGAUGAUGAGUUGCAUGUGAGUCCGUGUUUCACCUGAAUCUCAUGAUUAUUCUUUCACUGCACUGAUGGGUUU